rnacentral:rRNA from 1 species
UACGGGGGGGGCAAGCGUUGUUCGGAAUUACUGGGCGUAAAGGGCUCGUAGGCGGCCAACUAAGUCAGACGUGAAAUCCCUCGGCUUAACCGGGGAACUGCGUCUGAUACUGGAUGGCUUGAGUUUGGGAGAGGGAUGCGGAAUUCCAGGUGUAGCGGUGAAAUGCGUAGAUAUCUGGAGGAACACCGGUGGCGAAGGCGGCAUCCUGGACCAAUUCUGACACUGAGGAGCGAAAGCCAGGGGAGCAAACGGG